UACGUAGGGGGCAAGCGUUGUCCGGAAUUAUUGGGCGUAAAGCGCGCGUAGGCGGCUACUUAAGUCGGAUGUGAAAGCCCUUGGCUCAACUGAGGAAGUGCACCCGAAACUGAGUGGCUAGAGUACGAAAGAGGGUCGCGGAAUUCCCGGUGUAGAGGUGAAAUUCGUAGAUAUCGGGAGGAACACCGGUGGCGAAGGCGGCGACCUGGGUCGAUACUGACGCUGAUGCGCGAAAGCGUGGGGAGCAAACAGG
rnacentral:rRNA from 1 species